GUACUGUGAUGACAAUCUUAGGACACCUUUAGAGGCUGUGACCUAUGAAACUAUCAUCUGUUUAUUUAACCUGAGUACG
ensembl:snoRNA SNORD58 Small nucleolar RNA SNORD58